rnacentral:rRNA from 1 species
AACGAACGCUGGCGGCAUGCCUAACACAUGCAAGUCGAACGAGACCUUCGGGUCUAGUGGCGCACGGGGGCGUAACGCGUGGGAACCUGCCCGUAGGUUCGGAAUAACUCCCCGAAAGGGGUGCUAAUACCGGAGAAUGUCUUCGGACCAAAGAUUUAUCGCCUUUGGAUGGGCCCGCGUUGGAUUAGCUAGUUGGUAGUGUAAAAGCCUACCAAGGCGACGAUGCAUAGCUGGUCUGAGAGGAUGAUCCGCCACACUGGGACUGAGACACGGCCCAGACUCCUACGCGAGGCAGCAGUGGGGAAUAUUGGACGAUGGGCGCAGUCCUGAUCCAGCACUGCCGCGUGAGUGAUGAAGGCCUUAGGGUUGUAAAGCUCUUUUACCCGGGAUGAUAAUGACGGUACCGGGAGAAUAAGCUCCGGCUAACUCCGUG